CCUAUAAAACUGGCCACAUACUGCAUUGCAUAGCACAAUUAACCAAAUGAGUGAAAAUGGUGAUCAAGGAUCCGAAGGACUCAAAAGUCGUAGACAAAGUGGAAGUUGUUGUUAGCAAUUGCAGAGACUUAUUGCAGAGACUUGUUAUCCAAGUUCAAUCAUCGAAUCAAUGAUUUACCAAAUCUAAAGGUCCCUACGGUCCAUCCUUCUCCUCUUCCUGCAAUUGCUGUUAGAACCUAGGAGUGCAAGGGUCCAGUCACCUCACCACCACAAGCUUGUCAACCUUGAUGAUGAUGAAGAGCCCUUCCACUUGAUAUGGGGAAGAGCAGCAAUGCUUGCGCUUCGGUGGGGAACAGGACCUUUCUCUGCAGAGGAACCGUCUCUACAGUCGCUUCGGUGGGGAAGAGGACCCGUCUCUGCGGAGGAACCGUCUCUGCAGUAGUGAGACAAUUAGGGUCACCAAAAAUAAGCUAUUGAACAAAAUAGAAUCCCAAGUUCUGGAUCACUCGGCCAAGCCUUGUCAUACAUGCAAACUACAUGAAAUACAGCCUACUCUCUUGCUUGCUUGGAUAUGAUUUGGAGAGUUUGUUUCACGUGCCACGAUUGUCUCACUUUAAAAUUUUUGUUGAACUGGCUGUAAAUUGUUUACAUGUGCAAUAUUUUACAAGGAACCAAACGCUAAUCAGUUGAAUUAUAGUUUGUAAAUCUAAUCGAGAUAUUUUUGAGAAUUAUAUGACGCGUUUCUUUA